rnacentral:tRNA from 1 species
UUCACGAUCGACUAAUAGGAAAGUCGCACGGGUUCAAAUCCGGGGAGAUCUUGGUUCAAAUCCAAUUCGUGAUC